AUUUCUCAGAAAGCCCCUAUAAAAAGUUGUAUUUCAAAUAGAGGCCCUAAGAAUUGCCCCGUCCUCAAUCCUAACCCAAAACCGAAACAACAGCGAGAAGAAAGAAGCAAAGAAACAAACAUCUAGAACCAUCAAAACCCAAAAGGGUCGUGUGUGUGUGUGUGAAUUUGUGCAUACAAAUCAAUGGGGGAAGAAGGGUCGGAGAAGAAAAGGGUAGUUGUGGAAUCAUUAGGAUGGCUAACAGAAUCCACCAUCAUGCCCAAAAAGAUCCGACCAAUUGAAGGCGUAGGUGCUUCUUCAAUCCUUGAACUUAAAGCCCAGUUAUACAAAUCUCAAGAAGAAUCCAAACGUGUUGCUAAAGAGACCAAUCCCCCUUGUGCUGCUGACCCGAAUUAUUCGCAUCUGGAUAUCCACCGGGCCAAGAAAAAGAUAACUGCUAAGAACGCCUAUUCGGCUAAGAAUCCUGGGGUUGAUGCUAGAGAGGCCAAGGACAAGCUUGAGAUGAAAGCAAUUAAAGAUGGAUCAGUAAGCUAUGCUGCCUUAGAACGAAAGGCUAAGUUAUAUGAUAAGCUGGUGAGGGGUGAGCUUUCUGACGGGGAGGACGAAGAGAAGUACUGUGUUGAUUUCUUUCGGAAGGGGCAGGAUCAGGGAGACUCUGAGCAGCUUCAACAGCAUGACACUUCUAACACUGAUCCAACAGAUGAAGAUGGAGAUGAUGAUGCCUCCCUACUAUCAGACACAAAAGCUGCAGGACUUGGCCGCCAAGCUGGCACAUUCGACAGAAGUGAACAUAAGCGUUUUGUAAUGGAGGUUCAUAAAGAAGCAAGUCAAGCAAGGGAAAAAGUAUCCGAACUCAAGCUCCGUAGGGAAGAACAAGUUGCAGCACGUCGAGAAAAACUAAAGCAGGCUUAUCUCCGCAAGCAGAUUGAGAAAUUGAAGGCUUCCAAGUCAGAGCAGACAUAGACUAGAGGGCUUUCCAUAAACUUCAUGGUGAUUGGUGACCCCAUUCUAUUUGGAAGAAUUUCGUCAUCUUUUACAUUAUGGAGUAUUGUGUGUGCAGAAAUUUUCACCAGAAUAUAAGCUUCAGGUUUAUUGUAGUCUCCAAAUAACACCGGGAGAUUAUUGGUUUCUUACUGACUGACAUCAUGAAGCAUGGGUGUUUUGGGCCUCAACAGUUGUGUUUGUUAUUUACCUUCACAAUUGACAAUUAUUCAAAAAAAUUGAAGUGCCUUUCAGAAUAUCAUUUGUUGUCCUUGGCAUAACGGAUUGCAUUCAGAACAUAAUAAAAGCUGCUACAAUUGCAUAGUAACCUGGAAGGCAAAAAGAAGCGGCAAAUGCUGUCAUAAUGUUUCCCACUAAACAUGUUUGCUACAUAGGGCAAAACUUUUCUUUUUCAGAACCUCAUGAGUGAGGCAAUCUUCUCUACACAUAAUCCAUGUAAAGAAAGCUAAGAAAGCUGCCUCCGAUGGAGUUUUGGAUCUCCAGAUUUGUUUCCAUGACCAAGGACUUGGACUCUGUUAGUGUUCUGUAUCCGUGUUAUGCUCUUUUGUGUUAUUUAGCUUCUGAUAUGUCUAAAAGACUGAAGAAUUUAGCAGCCCUAUUUACCUCCCAGUCAUUCGAAGUUCUUCUUAAGUGCUUUUGAGGUUGGAGGUUUAAAUCUCUGCUUCAUUUGAACAAGCCUGAGGUUAGUGAUCGCAAGCAUCAGCUUUGGCAACUUAAUUGCGGGAUGCAUAUUGCACCGUGAAGUUGUGGACUUUCUUAGAAGGGACCAAGUAGUUUCAAGUUUCGGUGCAGCUGUAUCAUCGAGUGGAGAGCUCAAUUGUUAUAUCAAGAAUGCUCCAAUGUAGAAAAAAUUGUGAAGGUUCCCUUGAUUUCGUUGCCUGUGUAUCAUGUACAAGCAAAUGUUUUGUAAUUUGGUGAAAGAAAAAUUCUUGAAUGUCUCAUAUUUUUACUGA